AACGAACGCUGGCGGCAGGCUUAACACAUGCAAGUCGAACGCCCCGCAAGGGGAGUGGCAGACGGGUGAGUAACACGUGGGAACAUGCCCAAAGGUACGGAAUAUUCUCGGGGAAACUGAGAGCAAUACCGUAUGUGCCCGAAAGGGGAAAGAUUUAUCGCCUUUGGAUUGGCCCGCGUCGGAUUAGCUAGUUGGUGGGGUAAAAGCCUACCAAGGCGACGAUCCGUAGCUGGUCUGAGAGGACGACCAGCCACACUGGGACUGAGACACGGCCCAGACUCCUACGGGAGGCAGCAGUGGGGAAUCUUGGACAAUGGGCGCAAGCCUGAUCCAGCCAUGCCGCGUGGAUGAUGAAGGCCCUAGGGUUGUAAAAUCCUUUCGUUGGGGACGAUAAUGACGGUACCCAAAGAAGAAGCUCCGGCUAACUUCGUG
rnacentral:rRNA from 1 species